rnacentral:rRNA from 2 species
UAGUCGCUGGGUGUAGACCCGAAACCAAGUGAUCUACUCAUGGCCAGGAUGAAGGUGCGGUAACACGCACUGGAGGUCCGAACCCACUAAUGUUGAAAAAUUAGGGGAUGAGCUGUGGGUAGGGGUGAAAGGCUAAACAAACUUGGAAAUAGCUGGUUCUCUCCGAAAACUAUUUAGGUAGUGCCUCAAGUAUCACCAUCGGGGGUAGAGCACUGUUAUGGCUAGGGGGUCAUCGCGACUUACCAAACCAUUGCAAACUCCGAAUACCGAUGAGUGCGAGCUUGGGAGACAGACGUCGGGUGCUAACGUCCGGCGUCAAGAGGGAAACAACCCAGACCGCCAGCUAAGGUCCCAAAGAUUGGCUAAGUGGAAAACGAAGUGGGAAGGCUAAAACAGUCAGGAUGUUGGCUUAGAAGCAGCCAUCAUUUAAAGAAAGCGUAAUAGCUCACUGAUCGAGUCGUCCUGCGCGGAAGAUGUAACGGGGCUAAGCCAGUCACCGAAGCUGCGGAUAUGCGUAAGCAUAUGGUAGGAGAGCGUUCUGUAAGCCUGCGAAGGUGUCUUGUAAAGGAUGCUGGAGGUAUCAGAAGUGCGAAUGCUGACAUGAGUAGCGAUAAUGGGGGUGAAAAGCCCCCACGCCGUAAGCCCAAGGUUUCCUGUUCAACGUUCAUCGGAGCAGGGUGAGUCGGCCCCUAAGGCGAGGCAGAGAUGCGUAGCUGAUGGGAAGCAGGUUAAUAUUCCUGCACCGUCGUAUGAUGCGAUGGGGGGACGGAUCGCGGAAGGUUGUCUGACUGUUGGAAUAGUCAGUUUCUGGUUCAUAGAAGGCGCUUAGGCAAAUCCGGGCGC